rnacentral:rRNA from 1 species
UACGUAGGGUGCAGGCGUUAAUCGGAAUUACUGGGCGUAAAGCGUGCGCAGGCGGUUUGCUAAGACAGGGUGUGAAAUCCCCCGGGCUUAACCUGGGAACUGCGCUUGUAACUGGCAAGCUAGAGUGUGGCAGAGGGGGGUGGGAAUUCCAGGUGUAGCAGUGAAAUGCGUAGAGAUCUGGAGGAACACCGAUGGCGAAGGCAGCCCCCUGGGCUAACCACUGACGCUCAUGCACGAAAGCGUGGGGAGCGAAACAACGGAUUGAGAAAC